UAUAAAUCGAGGAUUGAGACGAGUAGGCAGGGAUAUCUAUUUAGAGAGUCAGCGGCUGGUGAGAGUUGAUUAGAUAAACUGCGCGAAUGGACUUAGGAGAGCUAACCUGAAAGCGGAAGCGAGUAAGGGAGACGUAAGCCCUGCGUUAAAGGGAAAGGCGAAGAGCCUGUUUAAGUGAAUGCAGAUAAAUUCUGCAUUAAUGCGUGGUGGUACCGCGGUUUUAACCCGUCCCCGCA
rnacentral:ncRNA from 1 species